AUGCCACUGUACACCACUGCCUACUUCCCAAGUCGAGGCCAAUGUGAGGCCAUGCGCAUGAGGCCAAAGCUGGAAGGAGGAGGUGGUUACCAUAGAUACCUGGAUACAAGGCUUGCUUAAGCCCACUUGUCUGUAUGGGCAGCUCCCCAAGUUUGAGUUUGGAGACCUUACGCUUUACCAAUCUAAUGACAUCUUGAGGCACCAUGGCCGCUUGUUUUGGGCUUUAUGGGAAAGACCAGAGGGAGGCUGCCCAGGUGAAUAUGGUGAAUGAUGGGGUGGAGGACCUUCGCUGCAAAUAUGGCACCCUGAUCUACACCAACUAUGAGAAUGGUAAGGAUGACUAUGUGAAGGCCCUGCCUGGGCAUCUGAAGACUUUUGAGACCCUGCUGUCCCAAAACCAGGGAGGCAAAGCUUUCAUUGUGGGUGACCAGAUCUCCUUUGCUGAUUACAACUUGCUAGACCUGCUGCUGCUCCACCCUGUCCUGGCCCCUGGCUGCCUGGACAACUUCCCCCUGCUCUCUGCGUAUGUAGCUCGCCUCAGUGUCUGGCCCAAGACCAAGGCCUUUCUGUCCUCCCCUGAACAUGUGACCAGUCCCAUCAAUGGCAAUGGCAAACAGUAGUGGACUGAAGAGACAAGAGCUUCUUGCCCCCU